rnacentral:rRNA from 1 species
AACGAACGCUGGCGGCAUGCCUAACACAUGCAAGUCGAACGAGACCUUCGGGUCUAGUGGCGCACGGGUGCGUAACGCGUGGGAACCUGCCCUUAGGUUCGGAAUAACUCCCCGAAAGGGGUGCUAAUACCGGAUAAUGUCUUCGGACCAAAGAUUUAUCGCCUUUGGAUGGGCCCGCGUUGGAUUAGCUAGUUGGUAGGGUAAAAGCCUACCAAGGCGACGAUCCAUAGCUGGUCUGAGAGGAUGAUCAGCCACACUGGGACUGAGACACGGCCCAGACCUCUACCGGAGGGAGCAGGGGGGAAUAUUUGACAAUUGGCCAAAGGCUGAUCCCGCCAUUCCGCGUGAGUGAUGAAGGGCUUAGGGUUGGAAAGCUCUUUUACCCGGGAUGAUAAUGACAGUACCGGGAGAAUAAGCUCCGGCUAACUCCGUG